rnacentral:lncRNA from 1 species
GAGCUAUCGAUGCAAGAACUGACUAUCCAUGAUAUCAAAAUGAUAGUUUUAACCAUGUUUUUAGUCUAUAUAGUGAUUGUUUACAAUGACAUUGUUCUUUUAAAAAAAGGAGUAAAACAAGCUUCUAUUUUGAGUUCUGAUGAGGUGAGACAGUUGAAAUAAUCUCAGGAGGCAUUUAUAAGUUACAUUCUUUAAGAAUCAAUGGUGGUGGAAUUCCAACAGAAUAAUGACGGACUUUUCAAAAUCGACAGUGAUGGUGAAACUAUUUGGGGCGUUACAAGUAUAGCACGGUUAAUGGAGCCAUUCCAGAGUCCCCAUACGAUUGACAUGCGAUUCCAGAGUCCCCAUACGAUUGACAUGCGAUUCCAGAGUCCCCAUACGAUUGACAUGCGAUUCCAGAGUCCCCAUACGAUUGACAUGCGAUUCCAGAGUCCCCAUACGAUUGACAUGUGAUUCCAGAGUCCCCAUACGAUUGGUGUUUAAAUGAGUGCAUCAAGUCGAAUACCAGGAAAGUCUUCAAAAGUUCAAAUUCUAGUGAUGCAAGGUGGUUGGUAAGGCAUUCAGAAUUUAAUUGUUUUAGGCUGACUGACCUAUUGAUCAUGGUUAGUGUCUAGUUUACAUGUUAGAAACUUCGGAAGUUUGUCAAUGAAAGUAGCAAACGUC